UAGGGAGGAGUGGAUAGUGGAAGAGAGAUGUGGAGAGUAGGAUGGUGGAAGGGGGAGGUGGAGGUGGCUAUGGCGGACGUGACUGGGUUGAGGUGGUGGUUGUGGUGGUGUUUGGUAUGGUUGGAAUGGUUGUAGAGGGUGUUGCUAGUGAUGGUGAACGUGACUGGCUUAUGUUAAAGGUGGUUGUGGUUGUUGGGGAUGGUGGUGGUUGUGUGACAGUGGUGGGUGCAGCGGACGCAACGGUGUUGUGGUUGUUGGGUGUGGUUGAGGAUUACGAUGGUGGUGGUGGUGGAGGUGAUAGGUGGCGGUGGUCGUAGUCGGAGCGGGCUAAGCGGUGGUGGUGGUGGUGUAAAAAGGUGUUUAUCGGACGGAGUGGAAGUGGUGGUGGUGGCGGUGAUACGAUUAUCAGGGAUGAGAGAGAGAGAGAGAGAGAGAGAGAGAGAGAGAGAGAGUGUGUGUGUGUGUGUGUGUGUACUCCUAUAAUCAGCAAAUUGCAGUCACUCGUUCGCUUGUUUCACCUCCCUGUUUCAGGCCUUCUCUCCCCUUCCCUUCCUCCCCGCUCCCUUCCUAACCUGCCCGCCACCCUCUCCCCGCUUUUUCCUGCCUGUCCUCCCCUGCUCCUCGUGUCCCAGAUAAAUUGUUAUCUUUCCAAGGGUUGAGGAGAACAUGGUCGUAGUUCAAGUGAAGCCACUACAGCCACUCCCUGACAAGCCUUCCACACCGACAGACAGUGGCAGCAGACACACAAGAGACGAUGGUGUGGUGGACAAGAAGAUGCAGGGAGACAGCAGACAGAAUGGAAGCUACAGAUGAAAGAAGAGCAGGUCAAGCCAUGGCAGCAGACACAUAGACAGACAGAUUGGAUAAGAAAGAAGUAUUAUUUAGUGAGACAGGACCACUGGAAGCUGUCAGAGUGCUGUGGCACGUGGCAAGAACCAAGUGUUCAGGAGCACACACUGUCCCUUCACCAGUCAGCAGGUCUGGGCGGCUUGGAAGCCUCACUACAAACUGAAGACCCGUUCACUUGAAGGACACAGUUGGAGUCGGACACAAGAUCCAAAAGGGAGUUAUUUUUAAACGAGAGCUUCAGGCAGAAAAUUCGAGUGGAUUUUCAACUCUAAAAAUAACUUUUUUGGGGGGGAUAUUUUGAACCUUCUUUAUCUUGAAAAAUAACUGCAGAUAUCAUGACUCUAGCUGGAAAUUGACCUGAGCAAUGUAGGGUUUGCUGCAGUGAGAUUACCAAGGCACGAGUGUCUGGGAUUUAAAGAUGAUGGAUAUGUGUCCUGUGUGCUGCUGUGCUGGGAGGAGAGGAGCAGCAGCAGUCGUGGGGCUCUGUUGCUGCUGUCACUGGUGCAGCUGUUCACUCCUGCAGCUACCUUCCCUCAACAUACUGUGUCUUCCCUCACCUGCAAUGAACAACUAUGAACAAUACUUCUCCUGCGAUGAGGAACAGUGAAUAACACCUCUCUCUCUCUCUCUCUCUCUCUCUCUCUCUCUCUCUCUCUCUCUCUCUCUCUCUCUCUCUCUCUCUCUC